rnacentral:rRNA from 1 species
AGAGUUUGAUCCUGGCUCAGGACGAACGCUGGCGGCGUGCUUAACACAUGCAAGUCGAGCGGAAAGGCCCUUCGGGGUACUCGAGCGGCGAACGGGUGAGUAACACGUGAGGAACCUGCCCCUAGCUCUGGGAUAGCUCCGGGAAACCGGGAUUAAUACCAGAUAUGACCAUGGCUGGCAUCGGCUGUGGUGGAAAGGAU